rnacentral:rRNA from 1 species
AACCGCGGUUACACGGGAGACCCUAGUUGAUAGAUACGGCGUAAAGAGUGGUUAAGGAAUCAAAACUAAUAAAGUCAAAUUGCCCUCAAAGCCGUUAAAUGCAAUUUUGAGAGUACGAAGCCCUAUUACGAAAGUAACUUUAAUUUUCCUGACCCCACGAAAGCUAAGAAA